UCAGGUCGGAGGUAGUUAAUCCACCGGAGACGACAGCUUUUACCACAACGGAGGAGACCAGCGGCUCUAGGAAGAGAUCGCCAACAGCCUUCGCCAUGAGACUUGAUCAAGGAGAUCUCCCCAUAGCUAUUUUCUUGUGAUGAUGAUGAUGAUGAUGAUGAUGAUGAUGAUGCUUUUGAUUCUGUUGCUGAGGGUUUUAUGGUGAAAGGAGGAGGGAAGGUUGGAGGUGGAAGGUGAGCCUAAUUGGCUUCUAGAAGAGAGUUGGUAGGACACGUUUGAAGGAGUGGCUGGUGGGGCUCUUCCUCUUAUUAUUAAUUUUAAUUUCUUUUGUUUUAUAUUUUCUUUUACAUCAAACUAUAACUGCCACAUUCACAUAUUCAAUAUUCACUAGUUUUUUUUUUCUUUUUUCCAUUCAAUGUAGAUCUCAAAAGUGUCAAAACUAUACAUUGUUCACAACUUUUGUU